AGGCCGCUCCAGCCUGUGCAGAGGUCCAGACCCGUUCCCAGCCAAGGCCGGGGUCACUGGGAUGUAAGAGGGAGUUCUUGCCGUCUUUAGAAGUCUGAGGGACCAAUUUUGCAAGUUAUAUGAACCUGAAAGAGCCUGCAACCCCCAGACCUGGUGGUCUCUUCGUCAUUAGUUUUAAGAGGUAACGUAUAGGAAAUACAACACAAGCAACAAUCAAAACCAAAAUGUGUUCAGAAAUGAAAUGUCAUGCAAGCAAAUGGUCAGGAACAUCAUCGUAAACUUCUGCAUGAAAGUGUGUUUGCUGUCUUACUGUAAAUAGUUAUCUGUAAAGAACGGGCAGCAAAAUGUAGAAAGUGUGUGUCAUGUCUGGUCUGAUGCUGUAAUGACAUUGUUUAGUGAUUGUGAAGCAUGCACCUGAAGGCAUUCUGUCUGAGUAAAUGAUUUCAUUCAAUCAUAAAAGAUUCUAGAAGAUCAAAAAAAUAAUAUUUAUUUCAGAAAUAUCUGAUUAGAAAAUGAAAAUGUAUCAAGAUGUAUUUCUCCUU